GAUCAUGGCUCAGGAUGAACGCUAGCGGCAGGCUUAACACAUGCAAGUCGAGGGGCAGCAUAAUGGAUAGCAAUAUCUAUGGUGGCGACCGGCGCACGGGUGCGUAACGCGUAUGCAACCUACCUUUAACAGGGGGAUAACACUGAGAAAUUGGUACUAAUACCCCAUAAUAUCAUAGAAGGCAUCUUUAUGGUUAGAAAUUCGAUGGUUAGAGAUGGGCAUGCGUUGUUA
rnacentral:rRNA from 1 species